UACGUAGGAGGCGAGCGUUGUCCGGAGUUACUGGGCGUAAAGCGUACGCAGGCGGUCCAAUCAGUCUGGAGGGACAGGGCACAGCUUAACUGUGUCAGGCUUAUGGAAACUGUUGGACUUGAGGGCUUCAGAGGGAUGGGGAAUUCCGGGUGGAGUGGUGAAAUGCGUAGAGAUCCGGAAGAACACCAAAGGCGUAGGCACCAUCCUGGGAGUCACUGACGCUCAGGUACGAAAGCUAGGGAGCGAACGG
rnacentral:rRNA from 1 species